CACUAUCGUUAACUGAAUACAUAGGUUAACGAGGCGAACCGGGGGAACUGAAACAUCUAAGUACCCCGAGGAAAAGAAAUCAACCGAGAUUCCCCCAGUAGCGGCGAGCGAACGGGGAGCAGCCCAGAGUCUGAAUCAGCUUGUGUGUUAGUGGAACGGUCUGGAAAGUCCGACGGUACAGGGUGAUAGUCCCGUACACCAAAAUGCACAGGCUGUGAACUCGAAGAGUAGGGCGGGACACGUGGUAUCCUGUCUGAAUAUGGGGGGACCAUCCUCCAAGGCUAAAUACUCCUGACUGACCGAUAGUGAACCAGUACCGUGAGGGAAAGGCGAAAAGAACCCCGGCGAGGGGAGUGAAAAAGAACCUGAAACCGUGUACGUACAAGCAGUGGGAGCACCUUCGGGUGUGACUGCGUACCUUUUGUAUAAUGGGUCAGCGACUUAUAUUCUGUAGCAAGGUUAACCGUAUAGGGGAGCCGCAGGGAAACCGAGUCUUAACUGGGCGUUAAGUUGCAGGGUAUAGACCCGAAACCCGGUGAUCUAGCCAUGGGCAGGUUGAAGGUUGGGUAACACUAACUGGAGGACCGAACCGACUAAUGUUGAAAAAUUAGCGGAUGACUUGUGGCUGGGGGUGAAAGGCCAAUCAAACCGGGAGAUAGCUGGUUCUCCCCGAAAGCUAUUUAGGUAGCGCCUCGUGAACUCAUCUUCGGGGGUAGAGCACUGUUUCGGCUAGGGGGUCAUCCCGACUUACCAACCCGAUGCAAACUACGAAUACCGAAGAAUGUUAUCACGGGAGACACACGGCGGGUGCUAACGUCCGUCGUGAAGAGGGAAACAACCCAGACCGCCAGCUAAGGUCCCAAAGUCAUGGUUAAGUGGGAAACGAUGUGGGAAGGCACAGACAGCCAGGAUGUUGGCUUAGAAGCAGCCAUCAUUUAAAGAAAGCGUAAUAGCUCACUGGUCGAGUCGGCCUGCGCGGAAGAUGUAACGGGGCUAAACCAUGCACCGAAGCUGCGGCAGCGACACUAUGUGUUGUUGGGUAGGGGAGCGUUCUGUAAGCCUGCGAAGGUGACCUGUGAGGGUUGCUGGAGGUAUCAGAAGUGCGAAUGCUGACAUAAGUAACGAUAAAGCGGGUGAAAAGCCCGCUCGCCGGAAGACCAAGGGUUCCUGUCCAACGUUAAUCGGGGCAGGGUGAGUCGACCCCUAAGGCGAGGCCGAAAGGCGUAGUCGAUGGGAAACAGGUUAAUAUUCCUGUACUUGGUGUUACUGCGAAGGGGGGACGGAGAAGGCUAUGUUAGCCGGGCGACGGUUGUCCCGGUUUAAGCAUGUAGGCUGGUUGUCCAGGCAAAUCCGGAUAAUCAAGGCUGAGGUGUGAUGACGAGGCACUACGGUGCUGAAGUAACAAAUGCCCUGCUUCCAGGAAAAGCCUCUAAGCAUCAGGUAACAUCAAAUCGUACCCCAAACCGACACAGGUGGUCAGGUAGAGAAUACCAAGGCGCUUGAGAGAACUCGGGUGAAGGAACUAGGCAAAAUGGUGCCGUAACUUCGGGAGAAGGCACGCUGGUGUGUAGGUGAAGCCCCUGCGGGUGGAGCUGAGACCAGUCGAAGAUACCAGCUGGCUGCAACUGUUUAUUAAAAACACAGCACUGUGCAAACACGAAAGUGGACGUAUACGGUGUGACGCCUGCCCGGUGCCGGAAGGUUAAUUGAUGGGGUUAUCCGUAAGGAGAAGCUCUUGAUCGAAGCCCCGGUAAACGGCGGCCGUAACUAUAACGGUCCUAAGGUAGCGAAAUUCCUUGUCGGGUAAGUUCCGACCUGCACGAAUGGCGUAAUGAUGGCCAGGCUGUCUCCACCCGAGACUCAGUGAAAUUGAACUCGCUGUGAAGAUGCAGUGUACCCGCGGCAAGACGGAAAGACCCCGUGAACCUUUACUAUAGCUUGACACUGAACAUUGAGCCUUGAUGUGUAGGAUAGGUGGGAGGCUUUGAAGCGUGGACGCCAGUCUGCGUGGAGCCAACCUUGAAAUACCACCCUUUAAUGUUUGAUGUUCUAACGUUGGCCCCUGACCGGGGUUGCGGACAGUGUCUGGUGGGUAGUUUGACUGGGGCGGUCUCCUCCCAAAGCGUAACGGAGGAGCACGAAGGUUAGCUAAUCCUGGUCGGACAUCAGGAGGUUAGUGCAAUGGCAUAAGCUAGCUUGACUGCGAGCGUGACGGCGCGAGCAGGUGCGAAAGCAGGUCAUAGUGAUCCGGUGGUUCUGAAUGGAAGGGCCAUCGCUCAACGGAUAAAAGGUACUCCGGGGAUAACAGGCUGAUACCGCCCAAGAGUUCAUAUCGACGGCGGUGUUUGGCACCUCGAUGUCGGCUCAUCACAUCCUGGGGCUGAAGUAGGUCCCAAGGGUAUGGCUGUUCGCCAUUUAAAGUGGUACGCGAGCUGGGUUUAGAACGUCGUGAGACAGUUCGGUCCCUAUCUGCCGUGGGCGCUGGAGAAUUGAGGGGGGCUGCUCCUAGUACGAGAGGACCGGAGUGGACGCAUCACUGGUGUUCGGGUUGUCAUGCCAAUGGCACUGCCCGGUAGCUAAAUGCGGAAGAGAUAAGUGCUGAAAGCAUCUAAGCACGAAACUUGCCCCGAGAUGAGUUCUCCCUGAGACUUUAAGUCUCCUGAAGGAACGUUGAAGACGACGACGUUGAUAGGCCGGGUGUGUAAGCGCAGCGAUGCGUUGAGCUAACCGGUACUAAUGAACCGUGAGGCUUAACCUU
rnacentral:rRNA from 1 species